rnacentral:rRNA from 1 species
GAUGAACGCUGGCGGCGUGCCUAAUACAUGCAAGUCGAGCGAAUGGGUUAAGAGCUUGCUCUUAUGAAGUUAGCGGCGGACGGGUGAGUAACACGUGGGUAACCUGCCCAUAAGACUGGGAUAACUCCGGGAAACCGGGGCUAAUACCGGAUAACAUUUUGAACCGCAUGGUUCGAAAUUGAAAGGCGGCUUCGGCUGUCACUUAUGGAUGGACCCGCGUCGCAUUAGCUAGUUGGUGAGGUAACGGCUCACCAAGGCAACGAUGCGUAGCCGACCUGAGAGGGUGGUCGGCCACACUGGGACGGAGACACGGCCCAGAAUCCUACGGGAGGCAGCAGUAGGGAAUCUUCCGCAAUGGACGAAAGUCUGACGGAGCAACGCCGCGUGAGUGAUGAAGGCUUUCGGGUCGUAAAACUCUGUUGUUAGGGAAGAACAAGUGCUAGUUGAAUAAGCUGGCACCUUGACGGUACCUAACCAGAAAGCCACGGCUAACUACGUGCCAGCCGCCGCGGUAA